UAUAUGUGAUGAGCACUUAUUUUCAGUUCUGCUUCCGAAAAUGCCACCGCAUUUGUGGAUACUCCUUUACCAAAACCAUUAUUCUGAGCC
rnacentral:snoRNA from 1 species